AGGACACACAAUAUGGUAUUCCGGCAAAAGACUGUCCCAGGAUAUUCUUUGUGACUGAUCACAAGUAAAACAAUCACCAGCUUUGGAUCUACUUUGCUAUGAAGAGAAAAAAGGACAUUCCAAGUUGGAAUGCUAAAACCAAUUUGUGAAAACAGCAUAUGAAUGAUGGGAAUUUCCCUGUCCUGUGACAGCAUUCUCCCUAGAGAUAUCUGGCUGGUUGGAAAGCUUCUGAAGAAUUUUCUUUCCCCAGCAAAAAACAGAGGAAUCUGCUCAUUAUAAGGAGAGGAUGAAGCCAGAACAGAUGCCACAGGCAAAAUGCUUUAUAUAAAAACAAGUAUUUUGGGGUCACUCUGUAUUUUCUUUAGUUUUU